GACGAACGCUGGCGGCGUGCUUAACACAUGCAAGUCGAACGAUAACCUCCGGCUUGGGGGGGCGCUUAGUGGCGAACGGGUGAGUAAUACGUGAGUAACCUGCCCUUCACUCUGGGAUAAGCCUGGAUAACGGGGACUAUUAUCAGAUACUACAUCUUGCCGCAUGGGGGGGGGUGGAGAGGGUUUUGCUGGUUUUGGAUGUGCUCGCGGCCUAUGAGCUUGUUGGUGGGGUAAUGGCUAACCAAGGCGAAGACGGGUAGCCGGCCUGGGAGGGUGACCGGCCACACUGAGACUGAGACACAGACCCGGCCCCGACUCGUGGGAGCAGUGGGGAAGGUUGAUAAAGGGGCAGGGGCCUGAUGCAGCGACGCCGCGGCCGGGAUGACGGUCUUGGGGUUGUGAAUCUCAAUCAGCAUGGAACGAGCCGCUAGUGACGGUACCUGGAGAAGAAGCGCCGGCUAACUACGUG
rnacentral:rRNA from 1 species